GAUGAACGCUGGCGGCGUGCCUAAUACAUGCAAGUCCAGCGAACGGACGAGAAGCUUGCUUCUCUGAUGUUAGCGGCGGACGGGUGAGUAACACGUGGAUAACCUACCUAUAAGACUGGGAUAACUUCGGGAAGCCGUAGCUAAUACCGGAUAAUAUUUUGAACCGCAUGGUUCAAAAGUGAAAGACGGUCUUGCUGUCACUUAUAGAUGGAUCCGCGCUGCAUUAGCUAGUUGGUAAGGUAACGGCUUACCAAGGCAACGAUGCAUAGCCGACCUGAGAGGGUGAUCGGCCACACUGGAACUGAGACACGGUCCAGACUCCUACGGGAGGCAGCAGUAGGGAAUCUUCCGCAAUGGGCGAAAGCCUGACGGAGCAACGCCGCGUGAGUGAUGAAGGUCUUCGGAUCGUAAAACUCUGUUAUUAGGGAAGAACAUAUGUGUAAGUAACUGUGCACAUCUUGACGGUACCUAAUCAGAAAGCCACGGCUAACUACGUG
rnacentral:rRNA from 1 species